rnacentral:lncRNA from 1 species
UGCACCUCUCCAACCGGGACUCCAUUUUCCUUCACCCAAGCCGAUCCUCCCUCUCAGCCGGUUCCACCAUCUCCCCUUCUCCUCAGCGCAAAAAAAAAACCAAAGGCCAGCUCUCCAUUUCUCCUCCACCGGCUCCAGCUCCUCCCUCUACACCAGCCAAACCAAGGAGGACACAACAGCCAGCUCCUGCCACAAAGAAGCAGAACCGGCCACUCCUCAACUUUGAUUUUUCACACCCAGCCACCACUGGAACCUUGCCCUCUCUCGGCCACUCAUUUCUCGCCGUCAAAAUCAGAGGCCGGC